rnacentral:rRNA from 1 species
GAUGAACGCUGGCGGCGUGCCCAAUACAUGCAAGUCGAGCGAAUGGAUUAAGAGCUUGCUCUUAUGAAGUUAGCGGCGGACGGGUGAGUAACACGUGGGUAACCUGCCCAUAAGACUGGGAUAACUCCGGGAAACCGGGGCUAAUACCGGAUAACAUUUUGAACCGCAUGGUUCGAAAUUGAAAGGCGGCUUCGGCUGUCACUUAUGGAUGGACCCGCGUCGCAUUAGCUAGUUGGUGAGGUAACGGCUCACCAAGGCAACGAUGCGUAGCCGACCUGAGAGGGUGAUCGGCCACACUGGGACUGAGACACGGCCCAGACUCCUACGGGAGGCAGCAGUAGGGAAUCUUCCGCAAUGGACGAAAGUCUGACGGAGCAACGCCGCGUGAGUGUUGAAGGCUUUCGGGUCGUAAAACUCUGUUGUUAGGGAAGAACAAGUGCUAGUUGAAUAAGCUGGCACCUUGACGGUACCUAACCAGAAAGCCACGGCUAACUACGUGCCAGCCGCCGCGGUAA